UUAACUUAAGUUUUUAAACGUUAACCUUUGAAGUUGAAAAAAUUAAUUAGUUUUAAUAAGUUCAA
rnacentral:tRNA from 1 species